GGGAGGGAGGGCAAAGGGCCAUGUCUUGCACUUGCCCCACCCGGCUGCCAAGAGUUCCAGUCACCAGGCCACCCUGAGUCUGGGCCCUUGAGGGUUGAGACUGGGAGACUGGGGCAGCAACCCGGGGCAGGUACAGAGCGCCUCAACCCCCUCCGCACCUGACAUCAGCAUCAACGUCAAGGCCAGGGCAGCAGGGCCCAGCGCAGGACACCUCUUCCAGACAAGACUUGAUCACCGCCUCCUCCUCUGUCACCCUGCGCCACAGCCCAGAGUCCCAGGCGGCUGGAGCACUGGGGGACGCCCAGACAGAGCCUUCCCUGGACCAAAUCCUCCAGGAGCGGGAUGAAGCCAUUGCCAAGAAGCGGGCAGUGGAGGCGGAGCUGCACACGUGCAAAGCCCGGCUGCAUGCUGUGGAGGCCCAGCUGCUGGAGGUCCUAGAGGAGAAACUGAGGCUGAGGCGGGAGCUGGAGGCCUGGGAGGAAGACAUGCAGCGGCUGGUGUGGCAGCAGGUCCAGAAUCAGCUGCAGAAAGAGGCUGAGGGCACUCGGGGAGCCCACGGGGACGCCAGAGCUGCCAGGACCCCCGGGCCUAGAUUCUCCCUGGGUCGGGGACGUUGGUGGUG